rnacentral:rRNA from 1 species
GACGAACGCUGGCGGCGUGCUUAACACAUGCAAGUCGAGCGGAAAGGCCCUGCUUUUGUGGGGUGCUCGAGUGGCGAACGGGUGAGUAACACGUUAGUAACCUGCCCUUGACUUUGGGAUAACUUCAGGAAACUGGGGCUAAUAACGGAUAGGAGCUCCUGCUGCAGGGUGGGGGUGGGAAAGUUUCGGCGGUUGGGGAUGGACUCGCGGCUUAUCAGCUUGUUGGUGGGGUAGUGGCUUACCAAGGCUUUGACGGGUAGCCGGCCUGCGAGGGUGACCGGCCACAUUGGGACUGGGAUACGGCCCAGCCUCCUACGGGAGGCAGCGGUGGAGAAUAUUGCACAAUGGGCGGAAGCCUGAUGCAGCAACGCCGCGUGCGGGAUGACGGCCUUCGGGUUGUAAACCGCUUUCGCCUGUGACGAAGCGUGAGUGACGGUAAUGGGUAAAGAAGCACCGGCUAACUACGUG